rnacentral:misc_RNA from 1 species
AAGAGUAAGGGUCUCUGGCCCGACCUCCAACCCUCUGUUGUUAAAACUACCUUGUUGCUUUGGCGGGACCGUUCGGUCUCGAGCGCGCCGGUCUUCGGAUUGGCGAGCGCCCGCCAGAGUCCAACCAAACUCUUGUAUUAAACCAGUCGUCUGAGUAUAAAAUUUUAAUUUAAUUA